AACGAACGCUGGCGGCAUGCCUAACACAUGCAAGUCGAACGAGACCUUCGGGUUUAGUGGCGCACGGGUGCGUAAAGGGUGGGAACAUGCCUAUAGGUUCGGCAUAACUCCCCGAAUGGGGUGCUAAUACCGGCUCUUGUAUUCCGACCAAAGAUUUAUCGAAUUUGGUUGGGCGGUCGAGGGCUUAGCUAGUUGGUAGGGUAAAAGCGUAUCAAGGCGACGAUGCAUAGCUGGGUUGUGAGGAUGAUCAGCCACACUGGGGCGAGGACGCGGUCGGGACUCUUACGGGAGGCAGCAGUGGGUAAUAUAGGACUGUGGGCUGAGGCAUGAUCGUGCUAGGCCUGGUGAGUGAUGAAGGCCGGAGGGUUGUAAAGCUCGUUUACCCGGGAUUAUAAUGACAGUACCGGGAGAAUAAGCUCCGGCUAACUCCGUG
rnacentral:rRNA from 1 species